GUGGGGAAUAUUGGACAAUGGGGGCAACCCUGAUCCAGCGACGCCGCGUGUGUGAAGAAGGCCUGCGGGUUGUAAAGCACUUUUAGUGGGGAAGAAAUGUUCAGGGUUAAUACCCCUGGAUCUUGACGUAACCCAAAGAAAAAGCACCGGCUAACUCUGUGCCAGCAGCCGCGGUAAUACAGAGGGUGCAAGCGUUAAUCGGAAUUACUGGGCGUAAAGCGUGCGUAGACGGUUAUCUAAGUCGGGUGUGAAAGCCCCGGGCUCAACCUGGGAAUUGCAUUCGAGACUGAAUAGCUAGGGUACGGAAGAGGGAAGCGGAAUUUCAGGUGUAGCGGUGAAAUGCGUAGAUAUCUGAAGGAACACCAGUGGCGAAAGCGGCUUCCUGGUCCAGUACCGACGUUCAGGCACGAAAGCGUGGGGAGCAAACAGGAUUAGAUACCCUUGUAGUCC
rnacentral:rRNA from 1 species